rnacentral:rRNA from 1 species
UGAACGCUAGCUACAGGCUUAACACAUGCAAGUCGAGGGGAAACGAUAUUGGAAGCUUGCUUCUGAUAGGCGUCGACCGGCGCACGGGUGAGUAACGCGUAUCCAACCUGCCCAUCACUUGGGGAUAAUCUUGCGAAAGUAAGACUAAUACCCAAUGACGUCUCUAGAAGACAUCUGAAAGAGAUUAAAGAUUUAUCACUGAAGGAGGGGAUUGCGUCUGAUUAGCUAGUUGGAGGGGUAACGGCCCACCAAGGCGAUGAUCAGUAGGGGGUUCUGAGAGGAAGGUCCCCCACAUUGGAACUGAGACACGGUCCAAACUCCUACGGGAGGCAGCAGUGAGGAAUAUUGGUCAAUGGACGAGAGUCUGAACCAGCCAAGUAGCGUGCAGGAUGACGGCCCUAUGGGUUGUAAACUGCUUUUAUAAGGGAAUAAAGUGAGUCUCGUGAGACUUUUUGCAUGUACCUUAUGAAUAAGGACCGGCUAAUUCCGUG